AGAAAAUGGUGGACGCUUGUCGUUCUCGUUAGUCACUUUUGAUUUUUAUUGUGUUAAAAUCAGUGCGGGAGUGAAAAAUAUUCGAUUGCUUGUGAAAAAAAUUCAUGUGUAAAAAUUGUAGUUUUUUUCUCUAUAAAUUGGUGAAAUUCAAAGUAAAAUUAUUAAUAAAUUAAAGUGCAUUGAAUCGAAUAUUUUAUUUCGAGUGAAUUGUGAUAUUGUGAAUUUGUGACAAGAAAAUAACCCAAGGAUUACAAGACCAAGAUGUCCAAUUUAUAUCAACAGUUUACCGUAAGAGGAACAACAAAUGUUUCGUCGUGCGCUGAGGAUAAAAAUGACUCCCUGGGAAUUCAAACAAAGUGAGUAGGCACUAAAUAUAUUUGUAACUUAAUUUUUAAAAUUAAGUUGCACCAGGUAAAAUUUGUGACUAAACUUUCGGUAUAUAAAAUUAUAUCUAUGUGCUUCUUUAUAUAAACUUUCUGCACAUUAAAUUAAUUUGCAACUUUUUGAACUUUUUUGUACGUUAAAUACAGCUUUAAUUUUU